rnacentral:rRNA from 1 species
AGAGUUCGAUUAUGGCUCAGGACGAACGCUGGCGGCGUGCUUAACACAUGCAAGUCGAACGAAGCUGCAUUGAUGAAGUUUUCGGAUGGAAUUGAUGUAGACUGAGUGGCGGACGGGUGAGUAACGCGUGAGCAACCUGCCUACAAGAGGGGGACAACAGCUGGAAACGGCUGCUAAUACCGCAUAAGACCACAACUUCACAUGGAGAAGGGGUCAAAGAUUUAUCGCUUGUAGAUGGGCUCGCGUCCCAUUAGCUAGUUGGCAGGAUAAAAGCCUACCAAGGCGACGAUGGGUAGCCGACCUGAGAGGGUGAUCGGCCACACUGGAACUGAGACACGGUCCAG